rnacentral:rRNA from 1 species
UACGUAGGGGGCUAGCGUUGUCCGGAAUCAUUGGGCGUAAAGCGCGUGUAGGCGGUCCGGUAAGUCCGCUGUGAAAGUCGGGGGCUCAACCCUCGAAUGCCGGUGGAUACUGUCGGGCUAGAGUGCGGAAGAGGCGAGUGGAAUUCCUGGUGUAGCGGUGAAAUGCGUAGAUAUCAAGAGGAACACCUGAGGUGAAGACGGGUUGCUGGGCUGACACUGACGCUGAGGCGCGAAAGCUAGGGUAGCAAACGGG